rnacentral:rRNA from 1 species
GCGGUCCGGCCGGGAACUCAAAGGAGACUGCCAGUGAUAAACUGGAGGAAGGUGGGGAUGACGUCAAGUCAUCAUGGCCCUUACGACCAGGGCUACACACGUGCUACAAUGGCGCAUACAAAGAGAAGCGACCUCGCGAGAGCAAGCGGACCUCAUAAAGUGCGUCGUAGUCCGGAUUGGAGUCUGCAACUCGACUCCAUGAAGUCGGAAUCGCUAGUAAUCGUGGAUCAGAAUGCCACGGUGAAUACGUUCCCGGGCCUUGUACACACCGCCCGUCACACCAUGGGAGUGGGUUGCAAAAGAAGUAGGUAGCUUAACCUUCGGGAGGGCGCUUACCACUUUGUGAUUCAUGACUGGGGUGAAGUCGUAACAAGGUAACCGUAGGGGAACCUGCGGU